GUCUCCGGGUAAGAUGGCAGCGGACGGACAGUGCUCGCUCCCCGCUUCAUGGCGGCCGGUGACCCUCACUCACGUCGAGUAUCCUGCAGGUGAUCUCUCUGGCCACCUCCUUGCUUACCUGAGCCUCAGUCCUGUAUUCGUCAUUGUUGGUUUCGUGACUCUCAUCAUCUUCAAGCGGGAGCUGCACACGAUCUCAUUCCUUGGGGGCCUGGCACUGAACGAGGGGGUCAACUGGCUGAUCAAACACGUCAUCCAGGAGCCGCGGCCCUGUGGAGAUCCCCACAGGACAGUCGGCACCAAGUACGGGAUGCCCUCCAGUCAUUCCCAGUUUAUGUGGUUUUUCUCUGUCUACUCCUUCCUUUUCCUGUAUUUAAGGAUGCACCAGACAAACAAUGCCAGGUUCCUGGACUUGCUGUGGAGGCACGUGCUCUCCCUGGGUCUCCUCACCGUGGCCUUUCUAGUCUCCUACAGCAGGGUCUACCUGCUGUACCACACCUGGAGCCAGGUGCUCUAUGGGGGCAUCGCCGGGAGCCUCAUGGCCAUCGCCUGGUUCGUCUUCACCCAGGAGGUCCUCACCCCACUGUUCCCCAGGAUAGCAGCCUGGCCUAUCUCUGAGUUCUUCCUAAUACGAGACACGAGCCUCAUUCCCAAUGUACUCUGGUUUGAGUACACGGUAACCCGGGCAGAAGCCAGAUGAGACAACUGAGGCCCAGAGAGGCGAGGAGGAGGAACCUGACUGAUGACUUACAGAUCGUGGUGGGGGAGCUGGGCUGGGAACCCAGGCUGUUUGGCCUUCUGUGGCCCAGAACCAGGGAGCUGGGCAACUGAGAUUCUCGGGGCACCGGAACAGACAGCGCAAGCUGGGGACAAAACUGCAGUGACUGGUGAGUGUGGCUGGGUCCAGCCUCCAGAUGUGCCCUGCAUGAUGCCUUGCAGGAUGGACAGAAUGACAGACAGGGAUGAAGCAGAGACCUCUACAGACCCAAGUCACCAAGUGGAGCCUUUUUUUUUCUUAUUUUAAUUUUUAUGAACAAGGUGGACCAAAGGGCCAAGCUAGUCCCUCAGCCAGGACCCUGGAGGGCCUGCUGCCAGGGGGCCACACGGCCAGAGACCCUCGCUGUGUUGCUUCCAGCCCUGGGUCGGGCAGAAAGUGCCCUUGGUGUGGGCAGUGGGGUGUGGGGUACAGGAGGGCUUGCACCUCUGGUCGAGGAGCCAGGAGAUCCAGGUGGCAUGAAAAAUACUAUUUAUUUUUUGGUUUUGUCAAAGGCAGAUGGGAUUAUGGAAUGGGGCUGGAAGAGCCUGCUCUGCGGUGGCUGCCCCAGGUAGAGAGGGGCCCAGCUCAGCUUCCCAGGCCCUUUGCCCCGAGCCCUGGGGGCAGACUGCCUCUCCCUGGGUCUGAGAGGUGGCCCUGGCGGCCCAGGAGAGGGGAGCAGCCCUGUGCCCUCCCUGCCACCAUUGCCAUUCCAGAGCCUCAUUCAGUGUUUCCUUGUCUGGGGGCCAGGGCUCAGAGAGAGCACGCAUCUGGCGGCUGCUAUCAUCGUGUCCUACCCAGUAUCCACCCUACACCACAAGGGCUUUCUCUAGUCCCCUGUCCCCGAGACAGUGGUCCCUUUCUGACAAAAGAGCCUGCACAUGUGGGUGCAUAAACCCAAGCUGUUUACAGCUCUUUUUUGUCCUGCCAUCCGGGAGCAGUUAGUCUUCAUCUCCACGCGAACAAAAUGCAGAGGAACCAGGAGCUGGGUGAGAGGAGUGGGGCAGUGGGUGCCCAACGCCCCCGCCCUGCCCUUCCCUCUGUGCGCUGUGAACAUUCCUUGUCCUUCCCGACCCCAUCUGAGAGGCUGGGAACCUGCUCAGGGUCACCCUCGAGCCUGUGUCUGGGGUGUGGUUCACAGAUCCCCACGGUCUAGCUUAGAGGACGACAGCCCCUCCUAAAGGGACUCGAUCUCUAAGUCUCUCUGAAUCGGAGUCAUGGAGCGGACAUGCUUCCAGACUCUUAGAAGUGUCUAGGACUGAACCAGGCUGCUUGGGACCUGUGUUCGAAUCCCACCCCCCCUUUCUUUGUGGAGGUUCCUAAUCUGCUGCUGAAGCACAAUAUUUUGGUGCUUUCUUUUCUCAUUUGUUAAAGACAGUGUCCAAAAGCCAUUCCAGAUGCCAGGACCGGGGGCCUAUUUCUGGGGAAGGUUGGUCAGUCCCCACAUUUUCUUCUCCUUCCCUUCUUAUUUUUUACUUUUUGCCUAAGACAAGCCAAGUGUGAGGUGGUUUAAGAAAAAAUCAAUGAAAUUGUUUACUAUUGUUUUAAAAUAAAAUCUUGAACUCUG